AUAAAAAAGAAGCUGCUGUGUCCAAAGAACUCAAAAAGCCAGCAAAAGCUCCUGCAGCCAAUCCAGCUAUCAAAAAAGCAGCAGCACCAGAACCACACAAGAAAGAAAAAGCGAUGGAGUCUGCCAAAACAGCAAAGAGAGAAGUAAAAGUACAUGGAUCUGAGCAAAAUCCGAAGUUAAAAGGACCUGAAAAGAAGGAAGUAAAAGCAACAAAGGCAACAGAACAAGAUAAACCAAAGACGAAACAUGGAAAUCCUGAAAAAGAGAAGGAAUUGAAAUCUCCAGCAGCUACAAAAGAUAAAGCACAUGCUAAAGAAAAGGAAGAAAAGAAUCCUACAUUUUUAAAAGAAAAAGAUUCUCUGAAAGGAAAAAAUCCCAAGAAUCCAGAGAGUUCAAGGGAAAAAGAGACCAGUAAAAGAAAAGAGGUGAAGCCUCCAGCAGCCUUAAAAGAAAAGGACUCUUCAAAAGGAAAAGAUAUUAAGGCUUCAAGUAAUACUAAGGAAAAAGUUGCAGUGAAAAAGGAGGGGGAGAAGAAAGCUACCUCAGAGAAACCUCAUGAACACAAGCAUGAACAUGUUAAACAUGAAAAAGCUAUCUCUCAGAGUAAGCCAGAGGAGAAAAUGAAACAACAAAAGACAACUCCCACUGUGAAAUCAGAGCAUGAAGCAGUCAGACAUCAAAAAGAUGGUCCACGAACAAAACCAGGUAAGGACUCCUGCAUUUUAUGUAUUCAUUACUUUUGAAAAUGUUAUUUAAAGAAAUAGCGAAAUAAAAUUGUAUAUGACAAAUGUCA
rnacentral:lncRNA from 1 species